rnacentral:rRNA from 2 species
UCCAGCAGCCGCGGUAAUACGUAGGUGGCAAGCGUUGUCCGGAUUUAUUGGGCGUAAAGCGAGCGCAGGCGGUUUUUUAAGUCUGAUGUGAAAGCCUUCGGCUCAACCGAAGAAGUGCAUCGGAAACUGGGAAACUUGAGUGCAGAAGAGGACAGUGGAACUCCAUGUGUAGCGGUGAAAUGCGUAGAUAUAUGGAAGAACACCAGUGGCGAAGGCGGCUGUCUGGUCUGUAACUGACGCUGAGGCUCGAAAGUAUGGGUAGCAAACAGGAUUAGAUACCCUGGUAGUCCAUACCGUAAACGAUGAAUGCUAAGUGUUGGAGGGUUUCCGCCCUUCAGUGCUGCAGCUAACGCAUUAAGCAUUCCGCCUGGGGAGUACGGCCGCAAGGCUGAAACUCAAAGGAAUUGACGGGGGCCCGCACAAGCGGUGGAGCAUGUGGUUUAAUUCGAAGCUACGCGAAGAACCUUACCAGGUCUUGACAUACUAUGCAAAUCUAAGAGAUUAGACGUUCCCUUCGGGGACAUGGAUACAGGUGGUGCAUGGUUGUCGUCAGCUCGUGUCGUGAGAUGUUGGGUUAAGUCCCGCAACGAGCGGCACCCUUAUUAUCAGUUGCCAGCAUUAAGUUGGGCACUCUGGUGAGACUGCCGGUGACAAACCGGAGGAAGGUGGGGAUGACGUCAAAUCAUCAUGCCCCUUAUGACCUGGGCUACACACGUGCUACAAUGGAUGGUACAACGAGUUGCGAACUCGCGAGAGUAAGCUAAUCUCUUAAAGCCAUUCUCAGUUCGGAUUGUAGGCUGCAACUCGCCUACAUGAAGUCGGAAUCGCUAGUAAUCGCGGAUCAGCAUGCCGCGGUGAAUACGUUCCCGGGCCUUGUACACACCGCCCGUCACACCAUGAGAGUUUGUAACACCCAAAGUCGGUGGGGUAACCUUUUAGGAACCAGCCGCCUAAGGUGGGACAGAUGAUUAGGGUGAAGUCGUAACAAGGUAAC